rnacentral:rRNA from 1 species
UACGUAGGGUGCGAGCGUUGUCCGGAAUUAUUGGGCGUAAAGAGCUCGUAGGCGGCUUGUCGCGUCGGAUGUGAAAGCCCGGGGCUUAACCCCGGGUCUGCAUUCGAUACUGGCAGGCUAGAGUUCGGUAGGGGAGAUCGGAAUUCCUGGUGUAGCGGUGAAAUGCGCAGAUAUCAGGAGGAACGCCGGUGGCGAAGGCGGAUCUCUGGGCCGAUACUGACGCUGAGGAGCGAAAGCGUGGGGAGCGAACAGG